rnacentral:rRNA from 1 species
UAAUUGAUGUGAUAUCGACUAUGUCGAAUAAAAUUCUAGGUAGAGUUAUGAUAAUGACAUUGUCUGCCUAUGUGUCUUGACCAAAUUACGUGCCAGCAGUCGCGGUAAUACGUAGAAGACUAGUGUUAUUCAUCUUUAAUAGGUUUAAAGGGUACCUAGACGGUAUAUCAAGCCUGCAAUACGGGACUAAUGUACUAGAGUUACUUACGAGGGGGUAUUAAAGUACUGCUGGUGUAGAGAUGAAAUUCUGUCAUACCUCAUUUCGUAAGAAAUACUACGGCACAGGUAUAGGCGAAAGCAUCCCCUUAUGUGAUAACUGACGUUGAAGGACGAAGGCUUUGUGUAGCGAACAGGAUUAGAUACCCCAAUAGUCAAAGCAGAAAAUGAUGAAUGUCAUAGAUUAGACAUAUAGUUUAUUCUAUAAAUGAAAGUGUAAGCAUUCCACCUCAAGAGUAAUUUGGCAACAUUGGAACUGAAAUCAUUAGACCGUUUCUGAAACCAGUAGUGAAGUAUGUUGUUUAAUUUGAUAAUCCGCAAAAAACCUUACCACAAUUUGAAUAUUUAGAUUUUAAUUUUCUUUUUUUUUUUUUUUCGCUGUUUUGUUUAGAUUUUCUC